rnacentral:rRNA from 1 species
AUUGAACGCUGGCGGCAUGCCUUACACAUGCAAGUCGAACGGCAGCACGGGUGCUUGCACCUGGUGGCGAGUGGCGAACGGGUGAGUAAUACAUCGGAACGUACCUUAUCGUGGGGGAUAACGCAGCGAAAGCUGUGCUAAUACCGCAUACGCCCUGAGGGGGAAAGCGGGGGAUCGCAAGACCUCGCGCGAUUAGAGCGGCCGAUGCCUGAUUAGCUAGUUGGUGGGGUAAAGGCCCACCAAGGCGACGAUCAGUAGCUGGUCUGAGAGGACGAUCGGCCACACUGGGACUGGGACACGGCCCAGACUCCUACGGGAGGCAGCAGUGGGGAAUUUUGGACAAUGGGGGCAACCCUGAUCCAGCAAUGCCGCGUGAGUGAAGAAGGCCUUCGGGUUGUAAAGCUCUUUUGUCAGGGAAGAAACACCGGCUCUAACACAGUCCGGGAAUGACGGUACCUGAGGAAUAAGCACCGGCUAACUACGUGCCAGCCGCCGCCGUAA